rnacentral:rRNA from 1 species
CCUACGGGUGACAGCAGUGAGGAAUAUUGGUCAAUGGGCGCGAGCCUGAACCAGCCAAGUAGCGUGAAGGAUGACUGCCCUACGGGUUGUAAACUUCUUUUAUAAAGGAAUAAAGUGAGGCACGUGUGCCUUUUUGUAUGUACUUUAUGAAUAAGGAUCGGCUAACUCCGUGCCAGCAGCCGCGGUAAUACGGAGGGUCCGAGCGUUAUCCGGAUUUAGUGGGUUUAAAGGGAGCGUAGAUGGGUUGUUAAGUCAGUUGUGAAAGUUUGCGGCUCAACCUUAAAAUUGCAAUUGAUACUGGCAGCCUUGAGUACAGUUGAGGUCGGCGGAAUUCGUUGUGUAGCGGUGAAAUGCUUAGAUAUCUCGAGGAACUCCGGUGGCGAAGGCAGCCUACUAAACUGCCACUGACAUUGAUGCUCGAAAGUGUGGGUAUCAAACAGGAUUAGAUACCCUAGUAGUC